rnacentral:rRNA from 1 species
UGGGGAAUAUUGGACAAUGGGCGCAAGCCUGAUCCAGCCAUGCCGCGUGAGUGAUGAAGGCCUUAGGGUUGUAAAGCUCUUUUAGCGGGGAAGAUAAUGACGGUACCCGCAGAAAAAGCCCCGGCCAACUUCGUGCCAGCAGCCGCGGUAAUACGAAGGGGGCUAGCGUUGCUCGGAAUUACUGGGCGUAAAGCGCACGUAGGCGGACUCUUAAGUCGGUGGUGAAAUCCUGGAGCUCAACUCCAGAACUGCCUUCGAUACUGGGAGUCUUGAGUUCGGGAGAGGUGAGUGGAACUGCGAGUGUAGAGGUGAAAUUCGUAGAUAUUCGCAAGAACACCAGUGGCGAAGGCGGCUCACUGGCCCGAUACUGACGCUGAGGUGCGAAAGCGUGGGGAGCAAACA